CCUACGGGAGGCAGCAGUGGGGAAUUUUGGACAAUGGGCGAAAGCCUGAUCCAGCAAUGCCGCGUGAGUGAAGAAGGCCUUCGGGUUGUAAAGCUCUUUUGUCAGGGAAGAAACGGUGAGGGCUAAUAUCCCUUGCUAAUGACGGUACCUGAAGAAUAAGCACCGGCUAACUACGUGCCAGCAGCCGCGGUAAUACGUAGGGUGCAAGCGUUAAUCGGAAUUACUGGGCGUAAAGCGUGCGCAGGCGGUUUUGUAAGUCUGUCGUGAAAUCCCCGGGCUCAACCUGGGAAUUGCGAUGGAGACUGCAAGGCUAGAAUCUGGCAGAGGGGGGUAGAAUUCCACGUGUAGCAGUGAAAUGCGUAGAGAUGUGGAGGAACACCGAUGGCGAAGGCAGCCCCCUGGGUCAAGAUUGACGCUCAUGCACGAAAGCGUGGGGAGCAAACAGGAUUAGAUACCCUGGUAGUCCACGCCCUAAACGAUGUCUACUAGUUGUCGGGUUUUAAUUAACUUGGUAACGCAGCUAACGCGUGAAGUAGACCGCCUGGGGAUACGGUCGCAAGAUUAAAACUCAAAUGAAAUUGACCGGNUGAGAGNGCGACGGACGACGACGAGGGAGGAGG
rnacentral:rRNA from 1 species